GACGAACGCUGGCGGCGUGCCUAAUACAUGCAAGUUGAGCGAUGAAGAUUGGUGCUUGCACCAAUUUGAAGAGCAGCGAACGGGUGAGUAACGCGUGGGGAAUCUGCCUUUGAGCGGGGGACAACAUUUGGAAACGAAUGCUAAUACCGCAUAACAACUUUAAACAUAAGUUUUAAGUUUGAAAGAUGCAAUUGCAUCACUCAAAGAUGAUCCCGCGUUGUAUUAGCUAGUUGGUGAGGUAAAGGCUCACCAAGGCGAUGAUACAUAGCCGACCUGAGAGGGUGAUCGGCCACAUUGGGACUGAGACACGGCCCAAACUCCUACGGGAGGCAGCAGUAGGGAAUCUUCGGCAAUGGACGAAAGUCUGACCGAGCAACGCCGCGUGAGUGAAGAAGGUUUUCGGAUCGUAAAACUCUGUUGGUAGAGAAGAACGGUGGUGAGAGUGGAAAGCUCAUCAAGUGACGGUAACUACCCAGAAAGGGACGGCUAACUACGUG
rnacentral:rRNA from 1 species